UGCGUAGGUGGCGUGGUAAGUCGGGUGUGAAAUUUCGGAGCUUAACUCCGAAACUGCAUUCGAUACUGCCGUGCUUGAGGACUGGAGAGGAGACUGGAAUUUACGGUGUAGCAGUGAAAUGCGUAGAGAUCGUAAGGAAGACCAGUGGCGAAGGCGGGUCUCUGGACAGUUCCUGACACUGAGGCACGAAGGCUAGGGGAGUAAACG
rnacentral:rRNA from 1 species